AUACAGAGGGCUCGAGCGUUAAUCGGAAUUACUGGGCUUAAAGGGUGCGUAGGCGGGCCUGCAAGUGCUUUGUGAAAUCCCACGGCUCAACCGUGGAACUGCUUGGUAGACUGCAGAUCUCGAGGUUGGUAGGGGCUGCCGGAACUCUAGGUGUAGCGGUGAAAUGCGUAGAUAUCUAGAGGAACACCAAAGGUGAAGACAGGCAGCUGGGCCAAUCCUGACGCUGAGGCACGAAAGCGUGGGUAGCGAACGGGAUUAGAAACCCCGGUAGUCC
rnacentral:rRNA from 1 species